rnacentral:tRNA from 1 species
CCUUCGAUAGCUUAGUUGGUAAAGCAGAGUACUGUAGGCUCCUUUGCACGGCCAUCCUUAGGUCACUGGUUCAACUCCGGCUCGAAGGA